rnacentral:tRNA from 1 species
CGGGGUUUGGCGCAGUCUGGUAGCGCGCACGCCUGGGGGGCGUGAGGUCAUCGGUUCAAGUCCGGUAACCCCGA